UACGAAGGGGGCUAGCGUUGCUCGGAAUCACUGGGCGUAAAGGGUGCGUAGGCGGGUCUUUAAGUCAGGGGUGAAAUCCUGGAGCUCAACUCCAGAACUGCCUUUGAUACUGAGGAUCUUGAGUUCGGGAGAGGUGAGUGGAACUGCGAGUGUAGAGGUGAAAUUCGUAGAUAUUCGCAAGAACACCAGUGGCGAAGGCGGCUUACUGGACCAUAACUGACGCUGAUGCACGAAAGCUGGGGGAGCAAACAGG
rnacentral:rRNA from 1 species